GGCCCCGUAGUUCAAUGGAUAGAACAGCGGUUUCCUAAACCGUUAAUACAGGUUCGAUUCCUGUCGGGGCUACUA
rnacentral:tRNA from 1 species